rnacentral:rRNA from 1 species
GACCCCAGGUCAGGCGGGAUCACCCGCUGAGCUAUGC